rnacentral:rRNA from 1 species
GAUAAACGCUGGCGGCGUGCAUGAGACAUGCAAGUCGAACGAGUACCGGGCUUGCUCGGUGCUAGUGGCGGACGGCUGAGUAACGCGUAGGUGACCUACCCGGAAGUGGGGAAUAACUGCCCGAAAGGGUGGCUAAUACCGCAUGGGGUCGCACGUUCAUUCGGGCGAGUAAAGCCGCAAGGCGCUUCCGGAGGGGCCUGCGUCCGAUUAGCUCGUUGGUGGGGUAAUGGCCUACCAAGGCGACGAUCGGUAGGUGGUCUGAGAGGACGAUCACCCAGACUGGGACUGAGACACGGCCCAGACUCCUACGGGAGGCAGCAGUCGGGAAUUUUGCUCAAUGGGGGAAACCCUGAUGCAGCAACGCCGCGUGAGGGAUGAAGGCCUUCGGGUUGUAAACCUCUUUUGUCAGGGACGAUGAUGACGGUACCUGGCGAAUAAGCCACGGCUAACUACGUGCCAGCCGCCGCCGUAACAC